UGGCGGACGGGUGAGUAACGCGUGGGUAACCUGCCCUGUACAGGGGGAGUAACAGUCAGAAAUGACUGCUAAUACCGCAUAAGACCACAGCACCGCAUGGUGCAGGGGUAAAAACUACCGGUGGUACAGGAUGGACCCGCGUCUGAUUAGCUGGUUGGUGAGGUAACGGCUCACCAAGGCGACGAUCAGUAGCCGGCUUGAGAGAGUGAACGGCCACAUUGGGACUGAGACACGGCCCAAACUCCUACGGGAGGCAGCAUG
rnacentral:rRNA from 1 species